AAAACUCUCCUUUCAGGAAUCCCGUCUAUAGUUCAUUACUAGAGAAGUUUCUCUGACCCUGUCGAACACCAGAAACCCCCGAGGAAGAGGCUCACCGUUCUCUCUCGAGUGUGAAACCUGCUCUGAGGGUUGUUUCUGCAACUGCCACUGGCUGUUGAUAAUUCUUCUCUUCCUUUGGGAGAGUAACAGGCAGAGGAUGCUGCUGCGUGGU